rnacentral:rRNA from 1 species
CCUACGGGUCGCAGCAGUGAGGAAUAUUGGUCAAUGGACGAGAGUCUGAACCAGCCAAGUAGCGUGAAGGAUGACUGCCCUAUGGGUUGUAAACUUCUUUUAUAUGGGAAUAAAAUGUUCCACGUGUGGGAUUUUGUAUGUACCAUAUGAAUAAGGAUCGGCUAACUCCGUGCCAGCAGCCGCGGUAAUACGGAGGAUCCGAGCGUUAUCCGGAGUUAUUGGGUUUAAAGGGAGCGUAGGUGGAUUGUUAAGUCAAUUGUGAAAGUUUGCGGCUCAACCGUAAAAUUGCAGUUGAAACUGGCAGUCUUGAGGACAGUAGAGGUGGGCGGAAUUCGUGGUGUAGCGGUGAAAUGCUUAGAUAUCACGAAGAACUCCGAUUGCGAAGGCAGUUCACUGGACUGCAACUGACACUGAGGCUCGAAAGUGUGGGUAUCAAACAGGAUUAGAUACCCGGGUAGUC